AGGGGUGAAAGGCCAAUCAAACCCCGUGAUAGCUGGUUCUCCCCGAAAUGCAUUUAGGUGCAGCGUUGCGUGUUUCUUGCCGGAGGUAGAGCACUGGAUGGUCUAGGGGGCCCACAAGCUUACCGAAAUCAGCCAAACUCCGAAUGCCGGUAAGUGAGAGCGUGGCAGUGAGACUGUGGGGGAUAAGCUUCAUAGUCGAGAGGGAAACAGCCCAGAUCAUCAGCUAAGGCCCCUAAGCGGUGACUAAGUGGAAAAGGAUGUGGAGUUGCGUUGACAACCAGGAGGUUGGCUUGGAAGCAGCCAUCCUUGAAAGAGUGCGUAAUAGCUCACUGGUCAAGUGAUUCUGCGCCGACAAUUUAGCGGGGCUCAAGUUAUCCGCCGAAGCUGUGGCAUUCACGUGUGUGGCCGUGAGGUUGCGUGGAUGGGUAGGGGAGCGUCGUGUGCGUGUUGAAGCGGUGGGGUGACCUGAUCGUGGAGUGCAUGCGAGUGAGAAUGCAGGCAUGAGUAGCGAAUGACGGGUGGGAAACCCGUCCGCCGAAUAUCCAAGGGUUCCAGGGUCAAGUUAAUCUGCCCUGGGUUAGUCGGGACCUAAGGCGAGGCCGACAGGCGUAGUCGAUGGACAACGGGUUGAUAUUCCCGUACCGGCGAAACGACGUCCGUGCCGGGGCGCACGAUGCUAAGCAUGCGAGAUCGUCUGCUGCCUUUCGGGGUGGUUGGUGGUUGAGUCUGUGAUCCGAGUGUGUAGUAGGCAAGCUGCGGAGGGACGCAGGAAGGUAGCUCAUCCUCAGCGUUGGUUGUCUGAGGCUAAGUGUGUAGGGUGGGGUGUAGGUAAAUCCGCAUUCCGUGAUGCCUGAGACAUGAUGGGCCUGCACUGUUUUGGUGUGGGUUGAGUGAUCCUAUGCUGCCUAGAAAAGCUUCGUUGGCGAGUUGUUAGCCGCCCGUACCCUAAACCGACACAGGUGGAUAGGUAGAGAAUACCGAGGCGAUCGGGAUAAUCGUGGUGAAGGAACUCGGCAAAAUACCCCCGUAACUUCGGGAUAAGGGGGACCUGAUACGUGUUAAACCUUUGCGUUGAGAGCGUUGAGGGUCGCAGAGACCAGGCCCAAGCGACUGUUUACUAAAAACACAGGUCCGUGCCAACUUGUAAGAGGAUGUAUACGGACUGACUCCUGCCCGGUGCUGGAAGGUUAAGGGGAACUGUCAGCCGCAUUUGUGUGGUGAAGCGGUGAACUUAAGCCCCAGUAAACGGCGGUGGUAACUAUAACCAUCCUAAGGUAGCGAAAUUCCUUGUCGGGUAAGUUCCGACCUGCACGAAUGGAGUAACGACUUGGGUACUGUCUCCACCACGAACUCGGUGAAAUUGCAUUACGAGUAAAGAUGCUCGUUACGCGCAGCAGGACGGAAAGACCCCGGGACCUUUACUACAGUUUGGUAUUGGUGAUCGGUGUGACUUGUGUAGGAUAGGUGGGAGACUGUGAAACCGGGACGCCAGUUCCGGUGGAGUCGUCGUUGAAAUACCACUCUGGUCAUUCUGGUUAUCUAACCUAGGACCGUUAUCCGGUUCAGGGACAGUGCCUGAUGGGUAGUUUGACUGGGGCGGUCGCCUCCUAAAAGGUAACGGAGGCGCCCAAAGGUUCCCUCAGCCUGGUUGGCAAUCAGGUUUUGAGUGUAAGUGCACAAGGGAGCUUGACUGUGAGACUGACGGGUCGAGCAGGGACGAAAGUCGGGACUAGUGAUCUUCUGGUAGCGGAUGGAAGCGCCAGGACUCAACGGAUAAAAGGUACCCCGGGGAUAACAGGCUGAUCUUGCCCGAGCGUCCAUAGCGACGGCAUGGUUUGGCACCUCGAUGUCGGCUCGUCGCAUCCUGGGGCUGGAGUCGGUCCCAAGGGUUGGGCUGUUCGCCCAUUAAAGCGGCACGCGAGCUGGGUUUAGAACGUCGUGAGACAGUUCGGUCCCUAUCCGCUGCGCGCGUAGGAGUCUUGAGAAGGGCUGUCCUCAGUACGAGAGGACCGGGACGGACCAACCUCUGGUGUGCCAGUUGUUCCUCCAGGAGCAUGGCUGGUUGGCUACGUUGGGAAGUGAUAACCGCUGAAAGCAUCUAAGCGGGAAGCACGCUUCAAGAUGAGGACUCCCACACCGUCAAGGUGGUAAGGCCCCCUGUAGACCACAGGGUUGAUAGGUCGGACGUGGAAGCACAGUAAUGUGUGAAGCUGACCGAUACUAAUAGGCCGAGGGCUUGCCAC
rnacentral:rRNA from 1 species